UUAAAAAUAUACCUUUAUUUUUCUUAAUCAGUAUUAGUAAAUUUUUCUGUUUUAGAACCUAUUUCACAUCUGCAAAAUUCUUUUCAGAGUUCUGUUCUUGGAAGACAUGAGGUGAGGGCGAUGCUCCAUCGAGGUCACUAAAGAAAAGAGGAAUGGAGAGUGGCAGCAGCAGGUCCCUCCCGAAGUAUCUGGAAAUCCAGGGCAAGAAGUAGUAGAAUGAGAAUCUCAGGACCAUCAUUUCCCAAAAUUCAGCCCUCAUGAAUUUGACAUUACUGUCUCAUUCUUCCUCAAAAUACCUCACCAGCAAGAAAACUGCAAAAUUUCAUCUGAAAUUCAUUCUGGAAACACAGCUCAAUUUUGCACAAAUUCAGGAAUCACACAUUGUACUAGGGAGGCAAUUUGGACAAGAAGCUUACAAAUAUUUACACAUUAAACCCAACUAAAUCUUGAUGGAAAAACCCUGUUGAAGAUGAAUCAACUAAGAUAUCAUUAAAAAGAAGUAGUAUUUUAAACUGUG
rnacentral:lncRNA from 1 species